UUUCAGCAACGGAUCUCUUGGCUCUCGCAUCGAUGAAGAACGCAGCGAAAUGCGAUAAGUAAUGUGAAUUGCAGAAUUCAGUGAAUCAUCGAAUCUUUGAACGCACCUUGCGCUCCUUGGUAUUCCGAGGAGCAUGCCUGUUUGAGUGUCAUUAAAUU
rnacentral:rRNA from 1 species